rnacentral:hammerhead_ribozyme from 1 species
GCAUUGCUGAUGAGUCUCAAACAGGACGAAAUAGCUGUCCAGUGC